rnacentral:tRNA from 1 species
GGAGGGUGCAGCUCAGUGGUAGAGCACAUGCUUAGCAUGCAUGAGGCCCUGGGUUCAAUCCCCAUUCCCCCCA